AGCUAUAGCUAAGGCAAACGUGUCAACGUAGCGAAAUGAAGCACAGGAAAAUGACAAGAACACGCAAGGAGAGGUUCUCCAACUGUCCACUUUCUCCAAAGAGAGAUUAGUUUAUCAUUUUAUAAUCUGUAUCAAACUUCAACGAUGUCUCUCGUGGCCAGCGAUAUCCCGACGGACGAAGACCUAGAAGAUCUGGUUGAGGAUGGACUUUCUCUUGCUACCUACAUAUCAGACUCUGGAAAGAAAGCCAGGAAAAGAAGCUGUCUGGUAAACCUCCC